rnacentral:lncRNA from 1 species
CCAAGGAAAAAAAUAUAAGUGGGGGAAAGGGACUCACCGAAGAUGGCAAUGAUGGUGGUGGCGAUAGGUCGUGGUUGUUGGUGCCCGAUGUCGAUGAAAAGGUAGCUAACCAAUCUCAAAACAAAGAAGGCAAGGAAACAUAAAGAGAGGGUGAACAAUUGAUUGGGUGGUGGUGCUUGGCUAUGGUGGCACAAUUGCCAUCGAAGAUGAAGAAGAAAGGGAGAGAGAGGCAAUAGAGAUUUUGAUGGAGGAUCAACUAAGGAGAUGGGGUUUAAAUAAAGGAGUUUCUAUAUGGGAUA